rnacentral:rRNA from 1 species
UACGUAGGGCGCGAGCGUUGUCCGGAUUUACUGGGCGUAAAGAGCGCGCAGGCGGUCGUUCAAGUCGCGUGUGAAAGCCCCCGGCUCAACUGGGGAGGGUCACGCGAUACUGAUCGACUCGAAGGCAGGAGAGGGUAGUGGAAUUCCCGGUGUAGUGGUGAAAUGCGUAGAUAUUCGGAGGAACACCAGUGGCGAAGGCGGCUCACUGGCUCGAUACUGACGCUGAGGUGCGAAAGCGUGGGGAGCAAACAGG